rnacentral:rRNA from 1 species
CGGAGGGUGCAAGCGUUGUCCGGAUUUAUUGGGUUUAAAGGGUGCGUAGGCGGCCCGUUAAGUCAGUGGCGAAAGCCUCCAGCUCAACUGGAGAACUGCCAUUGAUACUGACGGGCUUGAGUACAGACGAGGUUGGCGGAAUUGAUUGUGUAGCGGUGAAAUGCAUAGAUACAAUCAAGAACUCCGAUUGCGUAGGCAGCUAACUAGGCUGUAACUGACGCUGAGGCACGAAAGCGUGGGGAGCGAACAGGAUUAGAUACCCUGGUAGUCCACGCCGUAAACGAUGAUUACUCGAUGUUGGCGAUAAACUGUCAGCGUCUUAGCGAAAGCGUUAAGUAAUCCACCUGGGGAGUACGCCCGCAAGGGUG